UCAGUACUCUCUCCGUUCCAUAAUUCUUGUCGAAAUAUUACAUGUAUCUAGAUGCUUUUUAAAAAUAAAUACAUCUAUUUUUAGGCAAAUUUGAGACAAGAAUUAUGGAACGGAGAGAGUAACAC
rfam:Brachypodium distachyon strain Bd21 chromosome 3, whole genome shotgun sequence.